rnacentral:rRNA from 1 species
UACGGAGGGGGCUAGCGUUAUUCGGAAUUACUGGGCGUAAAGCGCACGUAGGCGGAUUAGAAAGUCAGAGGUGAAAUCCCAGGGCUCAACCUUGGAACUGCCUUUGAAACUCCUAGUCUUGAGAUCGUGAGAGGUGAGUGGAAUUCCGAGUGUAGAGGUGAAAUUCGUAGAUAUUCGGAGGAACACCAGUGGCGAAGGCGGCUCACUGGCACGAUACUGACGCUGAGGUGCGAAAGCGUGGGGAGCAAACAGG